CAAAAAAAAAACUGACUCCUUCCAUUUCCAUUCACCCCUUUCACUGUCUCUCUUCUAGUCUCGCUACCUCUCCCAGCAUGAGCAAGGGACCUGGACUCUUCUCCGAUAUCGGCAAGAAAGCUAAAGAUCUGUUGACAAAGGAUUACAGCUCCGAUCAGAAGUUCAGCGUCUACACUUUCAGCGAUGCCGGAGUGGCCCUGACAUCAACAGCUGUUAAAAACGGAGGGCUUUCUACUGGGGAUGUUAGGGCCACUCCGGCAUCGCUGAAAGUGUAGACGCUGAACGCAAAGUUGAUACAGAGUCCAAUAUCUCAACAACCCUCACAAUCUAUGAGAUUAUUCCAUCCACUAAGACUAUUGCUUCAUUGAAAUUUCCUGAAUACAAUGCUGGCAAGUUGGAGGUUCAAUAUUUCCAUCACCA
rnacentral:misc_RNA from 1 species